GCAAGUCGAGCGAACAGACGAGGAGCUUGCUCCUCUGACGUUAGCGGCGGACGGGUGAGUAACACGUGGAUAACCUACCUAUAAGACUGGGAUAACUUCGGGAAACCGGAGCUAAUACCGGAUAAUAUAUUGAACCGCAUGGUUCAAUAGUGAAAGACGGUUUUGCUGUCACUUAUAGAUGGAUCCGCGCCGCAUUAGCUAGUUGGUAAGGUAACGGCUUACCAAGGCGACGAUGCGUAGCCGACCUGAGAGGGUGAUCGGCCACACUGGAACUGAGACACGGUCCAGACUCCUACGGGAGGCAGCAGUAGGGAAUCUUCCGCAAUGGGCGAAAGCCUGACGGAGCAACGCCGCGUGAGUGAUGAAGGUCUUCGGAUCGUAAAACUCUGUUAUUAGGGAAGAACAAAUGUGUAAGUAACUAUGCACGUCUUGACGGUACCUAAUCAGAAAGCCACGGCUAACUACGUGCCAGCAGCCGCGGUAAUACGUAGGUGGCAAGCGUUAUCCGGAAUUAUUGGGCGUAAAGCGCGCGUAGGCGGUUUUUUAAGUCUGAUGUGAAAGCCCACGGCUCAACCGUGGAGGGUCAUUGGAAACUGGAAAACUUGAGUGCAGAAGAGGAAAGUGGAAUUCCAUGUGUAGCGGUGAAAUGCGCAGAGAUAUGGAGGAACACCAGUGGCGAAGGCGACUUUCUGGUCUGUAACUGACGCUGAUGUGC
rnacentral:rRNA from 1 species